rnacentral:lncRNA from 1 species
UUUAGAGAGUGUGUUGAUAUUUUAGUUUUUAGUUAAAUUCUAAAGUCAAUCAAAUAAUUACAACAAAAUAUAUAAAGAUUUUUAUAGGUUGAAGUCUCAAAAAUUGGAAUUUAAAGAUUAAUGAGUAUUUUUAAGAUCUUUUGCAAUCUGUUAGUUAGAUUGAAGUGAAUUUUUAUUUAUAAAAACUACAAUUGAUUUCUAAUAAUUUAGGUAUAUUUUAGAGAAAAUUUAAUAGUUUAAAAAAGAGAUAUUGGUAUAAGAAGUUCAACAUUUAGAUUGGAGUAAGAGACCAACCAACACCUAAGCAGAAUUUAGGUU